UCCGGCUUAUCACCGGCAGUUUCCUCAGAGUUCUCAGCAUUACCUGUUAGCAACAGAGGAUGAGGGUUGCGCUCGUUGCGGGACUUAACCCAACAUCUCACGACACGAGCUGACGACAGCCAUGCAGCACCUGUGCACCUUCCACCCGAGGUGACUCCUCCUUUUGGGGAGGAUAUAAAGGGCAUGUCAAGUCUUGGUAAGGUUCUUCGCGUUGCCUCGAAUUAAACCACAUGUUCCACCGCUUGUGCGGGUCCCCGUCAAUUUCUUUGAGUUUUAAUCUUGCGACCGUACUCCCCAGGCGGGAUGUUUAACGCGUUAGCUACGCCACGGAGAGGUAACCUCCCCACAGCUAACAUCCAUCGUUUACAGCGUGGACUAC
rnacentral:misc_RNA from 1 species